AUUGAACGCUGGCGGCAUGCUUUACACAUGCAAGUCGAACGGUAACAGGCCGCAAGGUGCUGACGAGUGGCGAACGGGUGAGUAAUGCAUCGGAACGUGCCCAGUCGUGGGGGAUAACGCAGCGAAAGCUGCGCUAAUACCGCAUACGAUCUAUGGAUGAAAGCGGGGGACCGUAAGGCCUCGCGCGAUUGAAGCGGCCGAUGUCAGAUUAGGUAGGUGGUGGGGUAAAGGCUCACCAAGCCAACGAUCUGUAGCUGGUCUGAGAGGACGACCAGCCACACUGGGACUGAGACACGGCCCAGACUCCUACGGGAGGCAGCAGUGGGGAAUUUUGGACAAUGGGCGCAAGCCUGAUCCAGCAACGCCGCGUGCAGGAAGAAGGCCUUCGGGUUGUAAACUGCUUUUGUACGGAACGAAACGGUCCUGGUUAAUACCCGGGGCUAAUGACGGUACCGUAAGAAUAAGCACCGGCUAACUACGUGCCAGCCGCCGCCGUAACAC
rnacentral:rRNA from 1 species